UCUUGUUAACUGAUGUGUGUCAGCCC
rnacentral:piRNA from 1 species